rnacentral:lncRNA from 1 species
CCAUCACUCACACAUAUAUUCACACACACACAUGCACAGAUACAGGCAUACACACCAUCACUCACACACACAUAUAUUCAUACACACACACCCCUGUGCAUAUAAUCACACACACACCAUCACUCACACACAUAUACACCCAUUCUCUUGCAUAUAUAUUCACACACACUUGCAUAUACUGUCAUACACACCAUCACACACACUUGCACAUACCCCAUCCACACAGCCAUUCCCACCUUCUCCACUUUCCUAACCUCCAAUUUCUCCUUCCACCUCCUGCUUUACUGACAACCUUACCUCUUAUUUAACAGAGAAAACAGAAACAACUAAAAGACAGCAUUCCCAUUCCCCACACCCACUUGCAGCUGGCCUGGCUCCAUCCCCACAUGAGACAGGUGCCUCCUGUCCUGUUGUAAGGGAUCAAGGGAUGAACCUCCGUGAUCCUACCUAUGGCCAGGUGGGGCCACGUGAUGCACAUGACCCUGACCCUGUCCCCAGGCAAGGAAGUGCUCCUGCCCGUCCUACUCCCUCUCAGGUCACCCCAUGAAGAUGAGCUGUCUCAGAAAUAGAACCUCCCUCCUUGCCUCACCUCUUCCUCCAGUCACCCAUUCCCUUGCACUGAAAUCCCCUCAAGAUUAUCUCCAAUGUGUCCCCCUCUCUUAAAACGUCUCCAAUCACUUUUGUCCACACUACUGCACAAACACUGUUCUUGUCAGCAUGACCAAAGACUUCCACCUUGUCAAACCCAAGGGCCACUUCUCAGUCCUCAUCUUGCUGUCCCAGCAGCCGCCUUUGACACAGCUGCUUGGCCCUUCUUCCUUGAGGCACUUUUGCUACUUAGCUUCCAGAGCCAAUGCUCUCUCUCCUUCUUCUCCAGCCUCCUUGGAGUCUCCUUCUCAGUCUCCCUUGCUAGUUCCUCCUCCUCCUCCCAUCUCUAAGCCUGGAGCAUUUUAGGACUCAGUCCUCAGCCCUCUCUGCUUCUCUGACCACACUAACUUCUUGGUGGUUCACUCCUGUGGCUUCAAUGUCCCACUGAUGACUCCCACAUGUCUGUCUUGAGCCCUGGACUCUUCUCAGAGCCCAGCUUAGAAUAUCCAGCUGCCCAUUUGAUGUCCCCCUUGAGACUCUAACAGACAUCUCAGGUUUACCAAACCCAAGCUGCUCUACCCACAGUCUCCCAUCCCAAUAAAUGGUAAAUCCAUUCUACUGGAUUCCUUUUUGUUCACAUCCCAUAUGCAGUAUAUCAGGA